AACGAACGCUGGCGGCAUGCCUAACACAUGCAAGUCGAACGCCCUCUUCGGAGGGAGUGGCGCACGGGUGCGUAACGCGUGGGAACCUGCCCUUAGGUUCGGAAUAACUCAGAGAAAUUUGAGCUAAUACCGGAUAAUGUCUUCGGACCAAAGAUUUAUCGCCUUUGGAUGGGCCCGCGUUGGAUUAGCUAGUUGGUGGGGUAAAGGCCUACCAAGGCGACGAUCCAUAGCUGGUCUGAGAGGAUGAUCAGCCACACUGGGACUGAGACACGGCCCAGACUCCUACGGGAGGCAGCAGUGGGGAAUAUUGGACAAUGGGCGAAAGCCUGAUCCAGCAAUGCCGCGUGAGUGAUGAAGGCCUUAGGGUUGUAAAGCUCUUUUACUGGGGAUGAUAAUGACGGUACCGCAAGAAUAAGCCCCGGCUAACUUCGUGCCAGCAGCCGCGGUAAU
rnacentral:rRNA from 1 species